rnacentral:rRNA from 1 species
GAUGAACGCUAGCGAUAGGCUUAACACAUGCAAGUCGAGGGGCAGCAUGGUCUUAGCUUGCUAAGGCUGAUGGCGACCGGCGCACGGGUGCGUAACGCGUAUGCAACUUGCCUCACAGAGGGGGAUAACCCGUCGAAAGACGGACUAAUACCGCGUACACUUGGGAUAGGGCAUCCUGACCCAAGGAAAUGAAGUUCGCUGUGAGAUAGGCAUGCGUCCCAUUAGCUAGUUGGUGAGGUAACGGCUCACCAAGGCGACGAUGGGUAGGGGAACUGAGAGGUUGAACCCCCACACUGGUACUGAGACACGGACCAGACUCCUACGGGAGGCAGCAGUGAGGAAUAUUGGUCAAUGGGCGAGAGCCUGAACCAGCCAAGUCGCGUGAAGGAUGACUGUCUUAUGGAUUGUAAACUUCUUUUAUACGGGAAUAACAAGAGCCACGUGUGGCUCCCUGCAUGUACCGUAUGAAUAAGCAUCGGCUAACUCCGUG